GGAAUUGACGGGGCCGCACAAGCGGAGGAACAUGUGGUUAAUUCGAUGAUACGCGAGGAACCUUACCUGGGCUUAAAUGUAGAGUGCAUUUUUUAGAGAUAGAAAUUCCCUUCGGGGCUUUCUGCAAGGUGCUGCAUGGUUGUCGUCAGCUCGUGCCGUGAGGUGUCGGGUUAAGUCCCAUAACGAGCGCAACCCUUAUCGUUAGUUGCCAGCUGGUAAAGCAGGGGACUCUAGCGAAACUGCCACCGUAAGGUGAGAGGAAGGUGGGGAUGACGUCAAAUCAGCACGGCCCUUAUGUCCAGGGCUACACACGUGUUACAAUGGCCGGCACAGAGGGCAGCUACCUGGUGACAGGAUGCUAAUCUCGAAAACCGGUCUCAGUUCGGAUCGAAGUCUGCAACUCGACUUCGUGAAGCUGGAUUCGCUAGUAAUCGCGCAUCAGCCAUGGCGCGGUGAAUACGUUCCCGGGCCUU
rnacentral:rRNA from 1 species